GACGAACGCUGGCGGCAUGCCUAAUACAUGCAAGUCGAGCGAACAGAUGAAGUGCUUGCACUUCUGACGUUAGCGGCGAACGGGUGAGUAACACGUAAGGAAUCUACCUAUAAGCGGGGGAUAACAUUCGGAAACGGGUGCUAAUACCGCGUAAUAUCUUCUUCCGCAUGGAAGAAGAUUGAAAGACGGCUCUGCUGUCACUUAUAGAUGACCUUGCGGUGCAUUAGUUAGUUGGUGGGGUAAUGGCCUACCAAGACGAGGAUGCAUAGCCGACCUGAGAGGGUGAUCGGCCACAUUGAGACUGAGACACGGCCCAAACGCCUACGGGAGGCAGCAGUAGGGAAUCUUCCGCAAUGGGCGAAAGCCUGACGGAGCAAUGCCGCGUGAGUGAAGAAGGCCUUCGGGUCGUAAAAUUCUGUUAUAAGAGAAGAACAAAUUGUAGAGUAACUGCUACAGUCUUGACGGUAUCUUAUCAGAAAGCCACGGCUAACUACGUGCCAGCAGCCGCAGUAA
rnacentral:rRNA from 1 species